CCAGACUCCUACGGGAGGCAGCAGUGGGGAAUAUUGGACAAUGGACCGAGAGUCUGAUCCAGCAAUUCUGUGUGCACGAUGAAGUUUUUCGGAAUGUAAAGUGCUUUCAGUUGGGAAGAAAGAAAUGACGGUACCAACAGAAGAAGUGACGGCUAAAUACGUGCCAGCAGCCGCGGUAAUACGUAUGUCACGAGCGUUAUCCGGAUUUAUUGGGCGUAAAGCGCGUCUAGGUGGUUAUGUAAGUCUGAUGUGAAAAUGCAGGGCUCAACUCUGUAUUGCGUUGGAAACUGUAUAACUAGAGUACUGGAGAGGUAAGCGGAACUACAAGUGUAGAGGUGAAAUUCGUAGAUAUUUGUAGGAAUGCCGAUGGGGAAGCCAGCUUACUGGACAGAUACUGACGCUGAAGCGCGAAAGCGUGGGUAGCAAACAGGAUUAGAUACCCUGGUAGUCCACGCCGUAAACGAUGAUUACUAGGUGUUGGGGGUCGAACCUCAGCGCCCAAGCAAACGCGAUAAGUAAUCCGCCUGGGGAGUACGUACGCAAGUAUGAAACUCAAAGGAAUUGACGGGGGCCCGCACAAG
rnacentral:rRNA from 1 species